AAGAUGGCCACGGAGACAGCAGCGUGGUCAGAGUGGUAGGAGCCGGCCAUCAGCGAGAGCUGCUCCAUGCCUGGCUGCUGGGUGCUACAGCCUGUGGCCCACUGGCUUGCCUCACUGUGGUUGGUGGUGGCGGUGACAGAGACUGCAGCACGACCAAAGUGGCUUUUCUGGCUUUGCCCGCCCAGCUGCUCCAUGCCAGGAGGAGGAGGAGACACCUAGAGCCUGCGACACCACGGCUCGCCUCGCUGCGGGAGGGUGGCAUCAACGGAGACUGCAGUGCACCAGAGUGGUAGGAGAGCGGCCGCACUAGGAGGGCAGGUGGCUGCAGCCAGGGUUGGGGGUCAGGCUUACAGCAAUGGACGGGCUGCAGCAGUGGCCAGGUGGUAGGAGCCUUGUAGGGAGGGCUGGCGCAUUGGCAAUGGCUUUGCCCUGCCCAUGCCGUGGAUCUGACCCUGUACUGCCCUGCCUUGCCCUGUACCUGCCCUACUGUUACCUGGACUGUCUCGGCCCUGUCCUACUCUGGUCCCAUCCUGACCCUGUCUUGGCCCUGUGCUACCCUGUCCUUGCCCUGGUCUUGCCCUGGCACUGGCCCUGCCCUGAACCUGCCCUGGCCUGACCUUGGCUCUGGCCCUGGCUCUGGCCCUGCCCCUUGUCCUGACCCUGGUGCUGUCAUGGCACUGGCCCUGCCAAUGGUCAUGGUCCUGCUCCUGUUCUGGCCCUGACCUGGCCUUGGACAUGUCCUGGCCCUGCUUUGGCCCAUCCCUGCCCUGGCCCCACCAUAGGCCUGCCUGUUCUACCCUCUCCUGGCACUGACCUUGCCCUGUCAUGGCCUAGUGGUGCCAUUGCCCUGCCUUACCCUGUGCUGGUUGUGCCUUGGCCCUGCUUGGUGCUGGCCGCUCCCUGGACCUGCCCUGACCCUGCCUUGGCUUUUGCCCUGCCCUCACUAUGGCCUGGCCCUGACCCUAGCCCUGGUCCUGCCAUAUCCCUGGCCCUGCCCUUAUCCAGGCCCUGGCCCUGCUGCUGGCCUGGAACCUGGUCCUGUCAAGGACCUGCCCUGACUCUGCCAUGGCCCUGGCCCUGCUCUGCCUUGUUCCUGGCCCUGACCCAGACCCAGACCCUUUCCUGGCUCUGCACUGGCCUUUCCGUGGUCCUGAGCUGGCAGUGGUCUGCCCCUGGUCUUGCCAUCACCCUGCCCUGCUGUGCUCUGGAUGUGUCAUCACCCUGACCUGGCCCUACUCUGCCUUUGACCCUGCCCUGGCCUUACCUUGGCCCUCACCCUAGUCUUCACUAGGCCCUGCUCUGGAGCUGGCCCUAGCACAGACCUGGCCCUGACUCUGGCCCUGGUCUUUGUCCUGCCAUAGCCCUGGCCCUGAAGUGAACUUCGAGGUGUCCUGGCCCCGGCGUAACAUAGCUCUGCAUUGGCAUGUCCCUGCCCUGCCGCUACCAUUGCCUUGCCCUGCUCUGCCCUGUCCCAGUACUGACCUGGCCAUGCUAUUUCCCUGCCCUACCCUGCCUUGGCUGUGCCCUGGCUCGGUUCUGGCCCUGGCCCCGGCCCUGCCCUGGACAUGCUCUGACACUGCCUCAGCCUCGGCACUAGCCUGGCUCUUCUUUGGCAUCAGCUCUGCUCUCUGUGUGGACCGGCUCUUGUCCUGUCCUGCACUGGCCAUACCAUGCCCUGCCCUGCCCUGCCCGACUCAGCCCUGGCUCAGCCCUGGCCCAGCCUUGGCCUUGGCAUUGCCCCUGGUCCUGCCAUAUUUCUUGCCCUGUCCCUACCCUGGCCUUGGCCCUGACCCUUACCUUGCCCUGGCUCUGCCCUUGCCCUAACGCAGCCCCUGGCCCUGUCAUGGCCCUGCCCUGGACCUGUCCUGGCCCUGGCCCUUCCCUGCUUGAGACCUUGCCCUGGUUCUCCCCUGGCCCUGACCCUGAAAUGCCUGGCCCUACCCUGGCCUUGCACUGCUCUGGCCCUUGCCCUGACUCUGGUCCUGUCACUGGCCUAGCCCCAGCCCUGUUGCUGGUCUUACCAUGGCCCAGACCCUGCCUUGGCCCUUCCCUGACACUGUCCUGGACCCUGGCUGUGCCAAGAUCCUGCACUGACCGUGUCCUUGUUUUGCUCCUGCCCCGAACCUGGUCCUGCCCAGGCCAUGGCCAUGGCCCUGGCCCUGCCCUGGCUGUUCCCUGGCCCUGCCCUGCCUUGGCCCUAUGCUUUCCUGGCCCUGUCUUGCCUGUCCUGGCCCUGCCUUGGCCCUAGCCUGGCUUUGACCCUGCCCUGGCCCUACCUUGGCCUUCACCCUAGCCUUACCUGGCCACUCUGUUGGACCUGGCCAUAGCACAGACCUGGUUGUGGCCCUGGCCCUGCCAUGGCCCUGUCCCAGACCCUAGCCCUGCCAGGUACCUGUCCUGGCCCAGCUCUGGGCCUGGCUUUGUCCCUGGUUCUUAGAUGAACCUGGCCCUGCACCUGCCCUUGCCCUUGCCCUGGCACUGGCCUUGGACAUGUCCGUGGUCCUAACCCUGGCCCUGCCCUGGAGCUGCCACUGUCUUGGCCCUGCCCUGGCUCUGGCCCUGCCCUGGCCCUGGCCCUGCCCCGGCCCCAGCCAUAGACCUGCCCUGGUUGGUCAUGCCCUACCUUAACCCUGUGCUACCCUGGGCCUGCUCCACCCUGCCCUGGCCCUGCCCUCCCUUUGGCCCUGCCAUGACCCUGCCUUGGCCCUCACACUGGCCCUAGCACAGACCUGGUCCU
rnacentral:lncRNA from 1 species